GCCGCGUUGGCGUAGUGGUAGCGCGUCUCACUUGUAUCCACGAUCACUAUCAGAAAUUACAUGAGAAGGUCACUCGUUCAAUCCGGGUACGUGGCA